CCAGACUCCUACGGGAGGCAGCAGUGGGGGAUAUUGCACAAUGGGGGAAACCCUGAUGCGGCGACGCCGCGUGAGUGAAGAAGUAUUUCGGUAUGUAAAGCUCUAUCAGCAGGGAAGAAAAUGACAGUACCUGACCAAGAAGCCCCGGCUAACUACGUGCCAGCAGCCGCGGUAAUACGUAGGGGGCAAGCGUUAUCCGGAUUUACUGGGUGUAAAGGGAGCGUAGACGGUUAUGUAAGUCUGGAGUGAAAGCCCGGGGCCCAACCCCGGGACUGCUCUUGGAACUGCAUGGCUGGAGUACAGGAGGGGCAGGCGGAAUUCCUAGUGUAGCGGUGAAAUGCGUAGAUAUUAGGAGGAACACCGGUGGCGAAGGCGGCCUGCUGGACUGUGACUGACGUUGAGGCCCGAAGGCGUGGGGAGCAAACAGGAUUAGAUACCCCAGUACU
rnacentral:rRNA from 1 species